rnacentral:rRNA from 1 species
GUUAAUGAGGCGAACCGGGGGAACUGAAACAUCUAAGUACCCCGAGGAAAAGAAAUCAACCGAGAUUCCCCCAGUAGCGGCGAGCGAACGGGGAGGAGCCCAGAGCCUGAAUCAGUGUGUGUGUUAGUGGAAGCGUCUGGAAAGGCGCGCGAUACAGGGUGACAGCCCCGUACACAAAAAUGCACAUAUUGUGAGCUCGAUGAGUAGGGCGGGACACGUGGUAUCCUGUCUGAAUAUGGGGGGACCAUCCUCCAAGGCUAAAUACUCCUGACUGACCGAUAGUGAACCAGUACCGUGAGGGAAAGGCGAAAAGAACCCCGGCGAGGGGAGUGAAAAAGAACCUGAAACCGUGUACGUACAAGCAGUGGGAGCCUCUUAAUGGGGUGACUGCGUACCUUUUGUAUAAUGGGUCAGCGACUUAUAUUCUGUAGCAAGGUUAACCGAAUAGGGGAGCCGAAGGGAAACCGAGUCUUAACUGGGCGUUAAGUUGCAGGGUAUAGACCCGAAACCCGGUGAUCUAGCCAUGGGCAGGUUGAAGGUUGGGUAACACUAACUGGAGGACCGAACCGACUAAUGUUGAAAAAUUAGCGGAUGACUUGUGGCUGGGGGUGAAAGGCCAAUCAAACCGGGAGAUAGCUGGUUCUCCCCGAAAGCUAUUUAGGUAGCGCCUCGUGAAUUCAUCUCCGGGGGUAGAGCACUGUUUCGGCAAGGGGGUCAUCCCGACUUACCAACCCGAUGCAAACUGCGAAUACCGGAGAAUGUUAUCACGGGAGACACACGGCGGGUGCUAACGUCCGUCGUGAAGAGGGAAACAACCCAGACCGCCAGCUAAGGUCCCAAAGUCAUGGUUAAGUGGGAAACGAUGUGGGAAGGCCCAGACAGCCAGGAUGUUGGCUUAGAAGCAGCCAUCAUUUAAAGAAAGCGUAAUAGCUCACUGGUCGAGUCGGCCUGCGCGGAAGAUGUAA